rnacentral:lncRNA from 1 species
CAAAUAGGUAAAUCUUGUGAGCGUCAGGAAAUCCUGGAGGAUUUUGAAUGGGAGCACUGACUGGCUUGCGCGUUGCUGUUUGAUUAGAAGGCAUCUCUGCCUCUGGUUUUUGUGCUCAUGUUGCAGGGACAUAAACAAGAGGGACUCAGUUUUCUAGGGACAUUUAUUUCUCUCUCUCUCUCUCUCUUGUUUUUACAAUCUAUGUGUAAUGACUAAUUGGCUGUGUUUUCCCAGCUAUUUUAUGUUUCUCUUUCCCUGGUUACAAGUCGUACUAAAGCAGCAUAUCCACAGGGACCUAUAGACAGCCAGCAUUGCCAAAUGAUACGCAGCAUUCCCCUUUCUCUCUAAGUGUAAAACAUUUACAAGUAAAUUUACAAAUGCAUUAAGAACAUUUCCUCAGCUGACUGUUAGUGUUUAUUUCUUCCCCUUCUCCUCCCGGGAGCAGACACCUUCCAGCCCCUCAACUUUCACACACUGCUCUCCCGUUAUUUGCCUCCUUCCCUCCCUGUCGCCCCUUUCCCUCCUCUCCCUCCUCCUCCUCCUCCUCCUUUUCCAGUUCAGCGGCGCAAAUUUCUGUUUGUGCCAGUGGGGCGGCCUGGCGAGACCGCAAUUGCUCUACCCCACAGAUUGACGAGCCCUCAGAUGCCGAUUUACUGUACAUGGCAGCCACGCUGGAGCCGCGGCACAUCUGGAGUGGAUUCACAGGCCAUGCUCAACAUUUCGGCCUUCUGGUGGAUAAAAUUCCAGAUCCCAGUAGGAAAGGGCCAAAAUUCCUCAUGAAACAUCUUGCCCAGGUCUCAGCCUUCUCACAGAGGAAGCAGUGAACAUUACCUCCUUAUGGCUGCUUAGGAACCGCUGGAGGUGAAACCCCGAGAGGAGGGGACUCUGCG